AUUGAACGCUGGCGGAAUGCUUUACACAUGCAAGUCGAACGGCAGCACGGACUUCGGUCUGGUGGCGAGUGGCGAACGGGUGAGUAAUACAUCGGAACAUGCCCAGUCGUGGGGGAUAACGUAGCGAAAGCUACGCUAAUACCGCAUACGAUCCAAGGAUGAAAGCGGGGGAUCGCAAGACCUCGCGCGAUUGGAGUGGCCGAUGGCAGAUUAGGUAGUUGGUAGGGUAAAGGCCUACCAAGCCGACGAUCUGUAGCUGGUCUGUGAGGAUGAUCAGCCACACUGGGACUGAGACACGGCCCAGACUCCUACGGGAGGCAGCAGUGGGGAAUUUUGGACAAUGGACGCAAGUCUGAUCCAGCCAUUCCGCGUGCAGGAUGAAGGCCCUCGGGUUGUAAACUGCUUUUGUACAGAACGAAAAGGCUCUGGUUAAUACCUGGGGCUCAUGACGGUACUGUAAGAAUAAGCACCGGCUAACUACGUGCCAGCAGCCGCAGUAAUAC
rnacentral:rRNA from 1 species